AGGAACCUGCCUCAAAGAGGGGGACAACAGUUGCUUACGACUGCUAAUACCGCAUAAGCCCACAGCUCGGCAUCGAGCAGGGGGAAAAGGAGUGAUCCGCUUUGAGAUGGCCUCGCGUCCGAUUAGCUAGUUGGUGAGGUAACGGCCCACCAAGGCGACGAUCGGUAGCCGGACUGAGAGGUUGAACGGCCACAUUGGGACUGAGACACGGCCCAGACUCCUACGGGAGGCAGCAGUGGGGAAUAUUGCACAAUGGGGGAAACCCUGAUGCAGCGACGCCGCGUGGAGGAAGAAGGUCUUCGGAUUGUAAACUCCUGUUGUUGAGGAAGAUAAUGACGGUACUCAACAAGGAAGUGACGGCUAACUACGUGCCAGCAGCCGCGGUAAAACGUAGGUCACAAGCGUUGUCCGGAAUUACUGGGUGUAAAGGGAGCGCAGGCGGGAGAACAAGUUGGAAGUGAAAUCCAUGGGCUCAACCCAUGAACUGCUUUCAAAACUGUUUUUCUUGAGUAGUGCAGAGGUAGGCGGAAUUCCCGGUGUAGCGGUGGAAUGCGUAGAUAUCGGGAGGAACACCAGUGGCGAAGGCGGCCUACUGGGCACCAACUGACGCUGAGGCUCGAAAGUGUGGGUAGCAAACAGGAUUAGAUACCCUGGUAGUCCACACCGUAAACGAUGAUUACUAGGUGUUGGAGGAUUGACCCCUUC
rnacentral:rRNA from 1 species